rnacentral:ncRNA from 1 species
AAUUGGUUCACAAUCAUUGUGAUGAAAAGGGAAUCGGGUGAAAAUCCUGAACAGUCCCGCUGCUGUGAAAUUCCUUUUCUGUGCAAACAUCUUGUGCCACUGAAUGAUAUUUUUUUCAUUUGGGAAGGCCGUUUGCACUGGAAUGAAGUCAGAAGACCUGCCAUUGCCAUU